rnacentral:rRNA from 1 species
UGGGGAAUUUUGGACAAUGGGGGAAACCCUGAUCCAGCCAUCCCGCGUGUGCGAUGAAGGCCUUCGGGUUGUAAAGCACUUUUGGCAGGAAAGAAACGUCAUGGGUUAAUACCCCGUGAAACUGACGGUACCUGCAGAAUAAGCACCGGCUAACUACGUGCCAGCAGCCGCGGUAAUACGUAGGGUGCAAGCGUUAAUCGGAAUUACUGGGCGUAAAGCGUGCGCAGGCGGUUCGGAAAGAAAGAUGUGAAAUCCCAGAGCUCAACUUUGGAACUGCAUUUUUAACUACCGGGAUAGAGUGUGUCAGAGGGAGGUGAAAUUCCGCGUGUAGCAGUGAAAUGCGUAGAUAUGCGGAGGAACACCGAUGGCGAAGGCAGCCUCCUGGGAUAACACUGACGCUCAUGCACGAAAGCGUGGGGAGCAAACAGG